rnacentral:rRNA from 1 species
AGAACGAACGCUGGCGGCAGGCCUCAAACAUGCAAGUCUAGGGGGUGUAGCAAUACAUCACCGGCGGACGGGUGCGUAACACGUGGGAAUAUACCUUUUGGUUCGGAACAACGCAGGGAAACUUGCGCUAAUACCGAAUGUGCCCUUACGGGGAAAGAUUUAUCGCCAAAGGAUUAGCCCGCGUAGGAUUAGCUAGUUGGUGAGGUAAUGGCUCACCAAGGCUCCGAUCCUUAGCUGUUCUGAGAGGAAGAUCAGCCACACUGGGACUGAGACACGGCCCAGACUCCUACGGGAGGCAGCAGUUGGGAAUCUUGGACAAUGGGGAACCCUGAUCCAGCCAUGCCGCGUGAGUGAUGAAGGCCUUCGGGUUGUAAAACUCUUUCGACGGGGACGAUAAUGACGGUACCCGUAGAAGAGCUCCGGCUAACUUCGUGCCAGCAGCCGC